rnacentral:misc_RNA from 1 species
UCCGAGUUGACCCCGGCAGUCUCCUAUGAGUUCCCACCAUUACGUGCUGGCAACAUAGAACGAGGGUUGCGCUCGUUGCGGGACUUAACCCAACAUCUCACGACACGAGCUGACGACAACCAUGCACCACCUGUCAAACAGUCCCGUGAGGGAAGGAAUUCAUCUCUGAAAACCGUCUAUUUGAUUUCUAACCCAGGUAAGGUUCUUCGUGUUGCGUCGAAUUAAACCACAUACUCCACCGCUUGUGCGGGCCCCCGUCAAUUUCUUUGAGUUUUAAUCUUGCGACCGUACUCCCCAGGCGGAUAACUUAAUGCGUUAGCUUCGAUACAAGAGGGGUCAAUACCUCUUACAUCUAGUUAUCAUCGUUUACGGCGUGGACUAC